UGACACGCCAAGGCAAGACCGCUGUCACAAUCUCCUCAACGCUCUGAACUCCCACAAGGACAGGUUUGUCUCCGGAAAGGAGAUCAAGAAGAAAAAGUGUCUUUUUGGGCUUCAGGUUCGAGCCCCUCCACCGCUGACGUCCGAUUCGUCACCGCUCAUCACCGACCCACCUAUCAACAUCACGCACCGGAGAAGCCCAUUGUCGCUACCCUGCCAGAGGAGAGUGGGGGGGCCAGAGUCACGUAAAUCAAAGCGUCGCAUCAUGGAGACACAGGUCAGUGCCUCUGUCUUCAACUCAGGGGAAGGGGGGAGGAGGUCUGGGGCAC
rnacentral:lncRNA from 1 species